AUGCAGACCAAAGUCCUCUUCGUUUUGCUCCUGGCAUGCACCGCCGCCGUAUCUGCCGACCAGAAGGCCCCUCUGCAAAAGAGAGCUGAUGGUUUAAUUUCCAACUUAUUGGAUUUCACGGGAUCUCUGAGCAAAACUGCCAUCGACAAAGCAGUUAAUGGAGGCCACACGACUCUGAACGCGGUCCAGGGGCUUAUCAACUACGGUCUGGACUCGGCGAAAAGCGUCACCAACACCCUGCUCCGCCGUGACCUAGGCAUGACCAUGACCAUGCCGCGCUACAACAUGCCCAACCCGAACGCCUACGACACCUUGGGCGCCAUGCUCAACAAAGCCCAGGUCGACCUGAACAACUCAUGGGAUGCCGCCAACGCGCUGACCAGGGACAUGCGCCCCAACCUCUCCGACCGCGGACUGGCAGUCCUGAACAUGUACUUAAGAGAACUCCGCGCCUCUCGUAAUUCCUACAACAACGCCCUCGGCAACGCGGCCGACCUCUACGCCGGCCUGUCCAACACCGACAUCAACGACCAGGAGUUGGUAAACCUCCUCCAGGACCAGUACAGUUUAGAGAUGAUUGACUACGCCCAGCAGGCCCGCCGUCUCGGUAACGUCAUCAAAAACAACGGAUUCGACUUGUAGACUACCACCCAGGAGCAACUCAGCUCAGCACAGUUAGGUUUAACUCUAGCGGAUCAAUGCUCUGCGAAUUAAGUGAAAUAUAAUUCCCCUACUUACCUCAUUUAAUUAGUUUGAUUAUUUCCAUCGCAAUAGAGACAUCAACAAUUUUGUCUCAUACUUAGAUGUAUUUAUGCUUCAGGGAUCUUCGUCGAAAUGAAUUAUAUCAAAAGGAACUAUGUGCAUAUAGGAUUUACGUGCUUUGCAGUUUCAUGUGAUUUAAUUCUAUUCUAUACGUAGUUUCAUUUGGUAUAAACACGUCAGCUCAUAGUGCACGGAAAAAAUUAAAUUGCUGAUUUAACAAUUCAAAUGCUAAAAAAAGUGACUCAAACGUCUCAACGUAGAUUGCAACAAAAAAAUGCUACUUUAAAUACUAUUGUGAGCUAAUUUAACCACGGGGGUGGUUAACGUAGCAUUUUUUUGUUGUAAAAUCUUCAUUGAAACAUUGCGGUCAUUUUUUUAGCAAUUGAAUUGUUAAAUCAGCAAUUUAAUUUUUUCCUUGUGAUGAGGUACAUACUAAGCCCCACAUACACGGUAAAAGUGGACCUUAAUAUUGGCUUAAUGUGGGAGUCACCGAUGCGUUGUUGAGCGGUGAUGUGGGGCUUUAAUAAUCGUCGGCCCGGCGAAUAUUAAGGUUCACCGCUCAACAACGCAUCGGUGACUCCCACAUUAAGCCAAUAUUAAGGUCCACUUUUACCGUGUAUGUGGGGCUCUAGAAACCAUCCAUAAAUGACGUCCGGCACUUCUCCCAAAUUUUUGACCCCUCCUUCCCUAUUUCAGCCCCCUUUAUCUCCUUUAAAGGAGUCUGCAAAUCAAUUAGGUCCCCUCCUCUUGAUUUGCCUGCGACGUCAUUUAUAGACGGGCACCUACCGAAUAUCGACGGUGAAACUACCAAACCACGUAUCUCGGUUUGCGACGUCGCAGACUUCCGGUCAUACUUUAUUUUUAAAUGAAAACUACUUAACGUCCAGUCUUGAAAAUUUCUGUGAUUUUUCCUCUUCGUGCGGAGAAAAUUCUGUGAAAAUUUCAAGAAAUGAUAUUGAUUUGGUCUAUUUCAAAAAAUAAAAUGUGAGCGUAGAUUUUUAACACCGCAAACGAGAUACGUGGUUUGGUAGUUUCACCGUCGAUAUACAAAUACGCAGGGACGAUUCUUGCAAGUUGGCAACUCUGUUUUUCCUCCAUUUAAAUUUAUGUAAAACAAUCGAUUCAUAGUGAGGCAUCAAUAUUUUUAAUGUGUCUAAAUGGAGGAAAAACAGUGUUACCAACUUAAAAAAUCGCCAAUGAAGUAGGAUGACUUUGACCAGAAUCGCAGCUUAACCACAUAAGGCGUUGCCCAAUUUUCUCUCACGUUUUAUUUCUUUUACAAGAACAUCAAGCCACUUAUUGCAUUAAAAUUUUAUAAGUGUACUCUUUAUACCCCAGGGAAAAUUUACGAAAAGUAUUUCAAGGCUUUGUGCACUUCACUUUUCCUGGAAAAAAUAAAUCAAGGGAAGACAUUGGAAAAUGUGACAUGCUCAACUCACAGGCACCAUCACUUGCGCAAGUGAAUCGUUGACUAAAGACGAAAAAUUCUUAACACCAUUACGUUUAACUUAGCGAAUGGACCAAUAGACAAGGUGCGAAUGUAAGCAUUACGAUUUACGUUACCUGACCAAAAUGUACGGAGAGCACGACUUGAAAAAAGAAAAUUUCUGAAAUCAAGUUUUAACUAAGAUGCUAACGUUUUUACUUUACACUGCUUAAGGGAUUUUUGAAAAUCCUGCUCAUAAGAAAAACACAAGUCUGCCUGAAUCAAAUCGCGCUUCAAAACGGUUUCGGCAGUCUUCUUUCUCAAGCAAUGUUCUUUCCCGAUCUUGAGCUGUUCAAAGUGUUAAUACCAUGCAGCAGCUGAGCCGAGGUAUACCUACAUUGAGGUUGCCAUAUUUAUAGGGACGGUUACGGUAACGGUCAAGCUAAAACAUCACAACGGUUACGGUAACAUUUAGUGCGCAAUUUAACUCUCACAGAUCUCCCCCCCCCCCCUACCAAUGAGGGGGGAUUUGAAUUUACGUAAUGAAAAAGUUAAAUAUCUCGGUUAGGAAUUCUUUCAGCAAAUAUCAGAAUGCUUCAAUUCGCACCUUGUCUAGUGGUCCAUUAUACAUGUCUAACGAAAUGAAAUAUAAUUCCUUUAUUUGAAGUACAAUGAGAGCCUGAUCCCUUUUGUCGCAACUAUAAAAAUGAUCACAUGAUAAUAUGAAAUAUGAAUAUUCCUUAGUUUCUUCCUGGAAGGAAAUGUUCCUAGGAAAAACACGAAAGGAUGAAGUCAUGGCGUUUUUGCUUUGAACGGCAACAUGGGUCAGAUUCAACAAAAUUUUCGCUUAAAAGUUAUUUUUCUGGCUCGUUUGAUCUUACUAUGAAGAUCACUCAGAAUAUCUAUUUUUUUUUUUUUUUUCAAAUUUUAAACAUUUUUCUUUCUUUCUUUCUUUCCAUCGGUCAGUAUAGUAGUAGUAGUAGAAUGAGCUGAUUUAAUUCAGGGACACAUGCAUGACAACAGCCAUGCAGUCAAACAAGACAGAUUAAAUGCAGUCAAAUUAAUAGAAUAGUCUAUCAAAAUUAGUUAUAAAAAAGAAUUUAGAAGUAAAUUAAAAAAAAAUUUUUAUUGAAUAUGAUAUAAGCCAUGUACAAAUCGCCCGUCAUUCUUAAAUAAAUUAAGACAAGUCGUAACCGACCAAUGGCAGUCAUUCCAACGGUCAAAGGAAAGCUAAACUCUGCACCACACUGAAAAAAAAGUUACGAGGUGCAUAGACAUACCGUCCGUUCUGGGCUCAGGGACCGAAAGUUCAGGGUGCUAGAACCAUAGCCUCGGCUGCGGUCUGCGACUUUCGGCCUCUGCGCCCAGAACGUGGGCAGUAUGUCUAUAUGGCCCAUAAGUACGGCUUCCACGGCUGGAGCUUUUUUUCAGUGCAUGAAACAAGCAUCCGAGUUUCGUCGGUCCUACACCUAACACUCACCGUGGCGCUCUCUACAUGCUGAGGAAGAAACCAAACCCGAACUCGAACCGAAGUGACCGUCAAUCAACCCCAACAUCCUCCCCGAGCUUUCGAGCGGAUUAAAGUUCAACACGCCGGUGACGCCAUCUAUGCGUCUAGAGCGGCAGCAACGGGAAGUGGAGAACGUCGCCUUGCGCCCUCCGGCGGCGGCGCGGGGAACCCGCCACGGAGAGCCCAUUCAGAGAGAGCGUCAAUCAAUAAACUCCCACGUAGGCGAGACCGAUGGGUCGCAGCGACCAGUGGAAUAGCCCUCCAAGAGAUGGCUCCAUGCACACUUAACGCAUGAACCACGCGGGUAAUGCACUCUUGCGUGAUCGAGGGCUCACGGAGGAAGGUCGAUAGGGCGCGAUCGACUCGCGCGGGCUCGAGCUAUCGCUAGCGCCCUCCCACGUAAGAUUUACUCACCCUCACGCGCGCACCCCUCGUACGCCACCCUUUUCCCUCUCGUAUUACAGAUUCGCAGUAACCCUACUUCCAGUCGGAAAAUGUCGCCGAAAUCCUGAUGAAGUGAAGUGUCCUGGUGAAGUCGGUGCGUUUUAGUUUCGAUGGAGCCUUCUCGACCCGGGGCGAUGGCCAGGUA
rnacentral:lncRNA from 1 species